rnacentral:rRNA from 1 species
UUGGAAGGCGCUGCCUAUACAUGCAGUUGAGCGCUGAAGGUUGGUACUUGUACCGACUGGAUGAGCAGCGAACGGGUGAGUAACGCGUGGGGAAUCUGCCUUUGAGCGGGGGACAACAUUUGGAAACGAAUGCUAAUACCGCAUAACAACUUUAAACACAAGUUUUAAGUUUGAAAGAUGCAAUUGCAUCACUCAAAGAUGAUCCCGCGUUGUAUUAGCUAGUUGGUGAGGUAAAGGCUCACCAAGGCGAUGAUACAUAGCCGACCUGAGAGGGUGAUCGGCCACAUUGGGACUGAGACACGGCCCAAACUCCUACGGGAGGCAGCAGUAGGGAAUCUUCGGCAAUGGACGAAAGUCUGACCGAGCAACGCCGCGUGAGUGAAGAAGGUUUUCGGAUCGUAAAACUCUGUUGGUAGAGAAGAACGUUGGUGAGAGUGGAAAGCUCAUCAAGUGACGGUAACUACCCAGAAAGGGACGGCUAACUACGUGCCAGCAGCCGCGGUAAUACGUAGGUCCCGAGCGUUGUCCGGAUUUAUUGGGCGUAAAGCGAGCGCAGGUGGUUUAUUAAGUCUGGUGUAAAAGGCAGUGGCUCAACCAUUGUAUGCAUUGGAAACUGGUAGACUUGAGUGCAGGAGAGGAGAGUGGAAUUCCAUGUGUAGCGGUGAAAUGCGUAGAUAUAUGGAGGAACACCGGUGGCGAA